GGAAAAGCAAAACAAGCAUAAUAUAUUUGGCACAUUUGUGAGACUAAUAUGAACAUUCCUUUGGAAGAGAUAAAAUCCGUAAUUAAUUACAGGAAAAGUUUGAAGUGAACAUUUUAACCCUUCUAUAUUGCUCAUCAUAGGGAUGGUGUCAAUGGGGAGGCUAGUGGUAGUACCCGACACUAUUUGACCCAACUAUUCGGUGUAGGGCAUAUUAGGAACGGCACAAGAGGGAGGCUAGUGGUAGUACCUCGUGCCCCUUCCAACUCCACCGGAUAGGGAGCAAAUAGAGUAUAGAGCAUAGAAAAGUAAAACCAAAAGAAAUAAAGAUUAGAAUGUUCACUAAGUAGUUAAAGGAAGAAAUUCAAAAAUGAGGAAAUGAAUGACAAGAUAAAUGAAAGUAUAUAAAAAAAAAGCUUGUGAAAAGCCAAAUGAAGUUUCGAUCACUUGAAAACACACCUUUAGGAUAAAAUCAGUGUAGAAUUAUAUAUAAAUAGGGAGAGUUUAUUUGAAAAGAAUAAAUUUUAAUCCUUGAC
rnacentral:lncRNA from 1 species